rnacentral:rRNA from 1 species
AGCAGCCGCGGUAAUUCCAGCUCCAUUAGCGUAUAUUAAAGUUGUUGCAGUUAAAAAGCUCGUAGUUGAAUUUCGGGAUUGGCGCAUCGGUCGUGCCUCACGGGGUAUGAACUGGUGCAGUCAAUUUCUCACCUUCUGGAGAACCGCGAUGUCCUUAAUUGGAUGCCGCGGGGAACCAGGACCUUUACUUUGAAAAAUUAGAGUGUUUAAAGCAGGCAUUUUUGCUUGAAUACAUUAGCAUGGAAUAAUAAAAUAGGACGGCAUGGUUCUAUUUUGUUGGUUUCUAGGACCACCGUAAUGAUUAAUAGGGAUAGUUGGGGGCAUUAGUAUUCAAUUGUCAGAGGUGAAAUUCUUGGAUUUAUUGAAGACUAACUACUGCGAAAGCAUUUGCCAAGGAUGUUUUCAUUAAUCAAGAACGAAAGUUAGGGGAUCGAAGACGAUCAGAUACCGUCGUAGUCUUAACCAUAAACUAUGCCGACUAGGAAUCAGAGGAUGUUAAUUUUUAAUGUACUCGUUUUGG